AGAUAUUCUUGGGGGUGCCCCACUGUGGUGGCUGAGAUAAUACCCGUAACCUGAUCCAGAUAAUGCUGGCGUAGGGAAAGAAGCUAGAGUUGCC
rnacentral:ncRNA from 2 species